rnacentral:rRNA from 1 species
AUUGAACGCUGGCGGAAUGCUUUACACAUGCAAGUCGAACGGCAGCACGGGUGCUUGCACCUGGUGGCGAGUGGCGAACGGGUGAGUAACAUAUCGGAACGUACCCAGUAAUGGGGGAUAACUAACCGAAAGGUUAGCUAAUACCGCAUAAGCCCUGAGGGGGAACGCGGGGGAUCGCAAGACCUCGCGUUAUUGGGGCGGCGGAUAUCUGAUUAGCUAGUUGGUGAGGUAAAGGCUCACCAAGGCGGCGAUCAGUAGCAGGUCUGAGAGGAUGAUCUGCCACACUGGAACUGAGGCACGGUCCAGACUCCUACGGGAGGCAGCAGUGGGGAAUUUUGGACAAUGGGGGAAACCCUGAUCCAGCCAUUCCGCGUGAGUGAAGAAGGCCUUCGGGUUGUAAAGCUCUUUCGGCAGGGAAGAAACGGUUCUGGAUAAUACCCGGAGCUAAUGACGGUACCUGAAGAAGAAGCACCGGCUAACUACGUGCCAGCCGCCGCAGUAA